rnacentral:snRNA from 1 species
GUGCUCACUUCUGUAGCACAUAUACUAAAAUUGGAAUGAUACAGAGAAGAUUAGCAUGGCCCCUGUGCAAGGAUGACAUGCAAAUUAGUAAAGCGUUCCAUAUUUUU